ACAGUUUGCACAACUGGUAGGGCAGAUGGAGCUUUGCUUGACAACACAUUUGAGAGCAAUUGGUCCCUUGCCAAAUUGAAAAGCCCUAGCCCUAGUACAGGUCACCUUCCUUGUGGGUGUGGAUGACGCAGUCGGACUUUGGGUAGGAGACGCAUGUCAGCACAUAGCCCUCCUCCUGCUGCCCGUCAUCAAGGAAGGAUCCAUCCGACUGGUCAACUGCACCAGACUCGAUUUUGCCAGCACAGGUGGAGCAAGCCCCAGCACGGCACGAGUACGGCAACUCCACACCGGCAGUCUCAGCGGCAUCAAGUAUGUAGGUGUCAUCUGGAGCAUCAAACUCGUGCU
rnacentral:lncRNA from 1 species